rnacentral:rRNA from 1 species
AGUGAACGCUGGCGGCAGGCCUAACACAUGCAAGUCGAACGGAAGCACAGUACUUGCUUGUUGUUCCGGAGGGCGAGUGGGGGGAGGGUCAGGGAAAUAUCCGACUCUUCUUUUUCGUAGGGCUUCACGUAGGGACGGUUACGACAAUAUAGCAUAUGAUGUAAGUGUGGGAGCAUCGGAUCUUAGGCCCUGGCGGGAUUGGACGCGCGGCUGUCGGAUUAGUUAGUUGGCGGGGUAAAGACCCAGCAAGUCGACGAUCGGCAGCUGGACUGAGAGGAUGAUCAGCCACACUGGAACUGAGACACGGUCCAGACUCCUACGGGAGGCAGCAGUGGGGAAUAUUGGACAAUGGGCGCAAGCCUGAUCCAGCCAUGCCGCGUGUGUGAAGAAGGCCUUCGGGUUGUAAAGCCCUUUUGUUGGGAAAGAAAAGCAGCAAGUUAAUACCCCGCUGUUCUGACGGUACCCAAAGAAUAAGCACCGGCUAACUUCGUG